CAGAAGUUAGUUUAUUUAAAAUAUUAAUUUUGGGGAUUAAUGAUGAAGUAUUUACUUUUCUUUUGA
rnacentral:tRNA from 1 species